CUAAGGGGAGAGGAAAAUGGAAGUUAGUGUUUAAUGUGCAGAGUUUCAGUUUGGGAAGAUGAAUACGUUCUGGAGAUGGAUGUUGGUGAUGGUAGAACAACACUGUAAA